CCUACGGGAGGCAGCAGUGGGGAAUAUUGCACAAUGGGGGAAACCCUGAUGCAGCGACGCCGCGUGAGCGAUGAAGUAUUUCGGUAUGUAAAGCUCUAUCAGCAGGGAAGAAAAUGACGGUACCUGACUAAGAAGCCCCGGCUAACUACGUGCCAGCAGCCGCGGUAAUACGUAGGGGGCAAGCGUUAUCCGGAUUUACUGGGUGGAAAGGGAGCGUAGACGGUCCUGCAAGCCAGAUGUGAAAGCCCGGGGCUCAACCCCGGGACUGCAUUUGGAACUGUAAGGCUAGAGUGUCGGAGAGGCAGGCGGAAUUCGUAGUGUAGCGGUGAAAUGCGUAGAUAGUAGGAGGAACACCAGUGGCGAAGGCGGCCUGCUGGACGAUGACUGACGUUGAGGCUCGAAAGCGUGGGGAGCAAACAGGAUUAGAUACCCGUGUAGUC
rnacentral:rRNA from 1 species